AUGCAUUCUUUGCAGUCACGAUCUUUACUGUCUAGCUUUAUUUUGACUGUGCCUGCUUUAGUAGUAGGACAAAAUUCAGCAUUUAGGCACCAGGGAAAGGAUAAGAGAGAUAGGCAAGAAGGAAGGUGCAAUGCCGUGCUGUGCGGAGCCAUCCCCGACGCCCCGGGAAAUCAGAACAAGGAGAUUCCCUGGAUGCGAAAAGAACUCAGUUAAGGAGAUGUCAGCUGGGGAGAUUCGGAUGAUGGUGCAUAGUCGCGGUGUCUGCCAGAGGCAAAGGACAAACUGCAUCCAAAAUGGACAUGUUGGAGAGACUGGGCUCUAAGGAGCUAGAUAUUCAUGUGUCCUGCCACACUAUACAGACUCCUGGAUGUGAAAGAGCUGGUCCACCCUCUCCUCUGAAGGGUUGCAGCCCAGGUGUGGCCUGCAGUCUCCCCAGCUGAGGCUCCAGCUCUCCCCUUCACGUGUCUUCAUUUCACAUGUACCAUUUCCCUGUGCUGAGCCCAGAUGCCGGAAACAACAAAGGAAGAAUGUGGAGGUUUUGAGUUAGGGCAGCGUGGAUAAUGGGGGAAGUCUGGUGUCCCCACGAUGACGUCACCAAGGAUCUGGGGAGGAAAUCCUUGAAGUGUCUAUUUCUUCCUUUGUGACUCCGGUAAUGGGCUAUGAGAAGCAAGGUCCUCACCUCAGUGUUUCAUCACUCACCAAGCAGUAUGAGUGGGUGACUGAAGAUAAGGUUGAAUCGUCAUUGUGACAUCUGUUUCUCCUGAGAGUGCAGAAGGACAGCCUUGAUUUUGAUGAAGAAGACAGUCUGGAAGUCUUUCUAAUUGCUUUCUUUGGAAGGGAGAAAAGGAACAACUCUAGCAGAUGAAGUGAGAUGGCUUCUGGGAAUAAUAUUUGCCUCCCCAGAUUAUGCCUGAUUUAUGGUUUUGCAUCACAGAGUGCUAGGGCUCUACCUCCACCUCUCUAUGAAAGCCUUUCUCUCCAUCCCCACGGAUAUAUUGUUUUAAGUCAAGCAAGCGUCUUUUCUCAUAAGGACUAUUACAGCAGCCUCCUGUUUCAACCACUGCCCUCCCGGCUCCAUGAGAUACUGUGAACAAUUUUUCUAAAAGACAAAACUGAUCGCGACAGCCACUGAAGGAAACUCUACCAUGGUUCCCCAUCUCCCUGUUCAGGAUGAAGGCUAUUUGCACCCACGUGACAGCACAGGGAGGGCUAAUGACACACUACUCAGCAUGAGGUUUCAUUUCUACUGCUGCCUCCUCAGAGAAGCACAGCUACCCUGAUGACUUUAUCAGGAGGAGGACCCAGUCACUUCCACCUGGACCUUUACAGCUCCUCUGCACACCUGUGAUUAAUUGCGUUACUCAUUUAUUAGUUCAUUUGUUUACUGGCUACUCCCCACUGAAGUGGACAAAGAGGGGACCUGCCUUGCUAAGGGCUGUAUCAUUAAUUUCCAUAACAUCUGGCACCCAGUAGACGUGCCAUGACCAGAGGGUGAGUGGGAGACAAUUACAAAUGUAACUGUAAGUGCCAAAGACGUAUGAAAAAGCAAAAAUGUACCCAUGUCUCCAAAUUUGCUGAUAUAAUUUUGGUGCAGAUCCCUUGGAAAUCCUUCUUACAAUGAUGCUUUUCUCACAAAGAUGAAGACAUACUAUAUAUGAUGUUUUGUAAUUAAAACAAAUAGAAUUAGGUUGUGAACACCAUUAUCCGAUGAACCAUAUGCUGGUAAUAAUAUAGUAGUAAUUGUUUAUUUCUAUUGAUGUACACGUCACAUUUUGUACAUUGCACGUUAAUAGUAUUCUUAAUGGUGGCCUUGUGUUGUAUUACAUUGGUGCAUCAUAAUUUAAAGUACAGGUAGUCUAUUUUCGAUGUUUACUCUCUGCUCCCACAAUUUUGGAAUUUAUAACAAUAUUUCAUGAACAAACUUACCUAAGCGCACAUUUCUAGAUUUUACCUAGCAUAUAUACCUAAAAGUAUGUGUAUAAUAACUGGAAUAUUUUGUAUUGGAUUUUUACUUAUGAAAGUAACUAUUUGCAAGUGAUUUUUU